UGCCAUGAUGAUAAUGGUCUGAACCUUGGA
rnacentral:piRNA from 1 species